CACAUGCAGUCGAGCGGAGACAGGGAGUAGCUUGCUAUGAACUGUUUUAGCGGCGGACGGGUGAGUAACGCGUGAGCAACCUUUCCCAGACAGGGGAGUAACACACCGAAAGGUGUACUAAUACCGCAUAAGACCACGGAAUCACAUGGUUCUGAGGUAAAAGAUUUAUCGGUUUGGGGUGGGCUCGCGUCCGAUUAGGUAGUUGGUGAGGUAACGGCCCACCAAGCCGACGAUCGGUAGCCGACCUGAGAGGGUGAUCGGCCACAUUGGGACUGAGACACGGCCCAAACUCCUACGGGAGGCAGCAGUGGGGAAUAUUGGGCAAUGGAGGAAACUCUGACCCAGCAACGCCGCGUGGAGGAAGAAGGUUUUCGGAUCGUAAACUCCUGUCCUUGGAGACGAGUAGAAGACGGUAUCCAAGGAGGAAGCCCCGGCUAACUACGUGCCAGCAGCCGCGGUAAUACGUAGGGGGCAAGCGUUGUCCGGAAUAAUUGGGCGUAAAGGGCGCGUAGGCGGCUCGGUAAGUCUGGAGUGAAAGUCCUGCUUUUAAGGUGGGAAUUGCUUUGGAUACUGUCGGGCUUGAGUGCAGGAGAGGUUAGUGGAAUUCCCAGUGUAGCGGUGAAAUGCGUAGAGAUUGGGAGGAACACCAGUGGCGAAGGCGACUAACUGGACUGUAACUGACGCUGAGGCGCGAAAGUGUGGGGAGCAAACAGGAUUAGAUACCCUGGUAGUCCACACUGUAAACGAUGAAUGCUAGGUGUAGGGGGUAUCGAUCCCUUCUGUGCCGCAGUCAACACAAUAAGCAUUCCGCCUGGGGAGUACGGCCGCAAGGUUGAAACUCAGAGGAAUUGACGGGG
rnacentral:rRNA from 1 species